rnacentral:rRNA from 1 species
GACGAACCGUGCGAACGUUGUUCGGAUUCACUGGGCUUAAAGGGCGCGUAGGCGGGCAUCCAAGUCAGGGGUGAAAUCUUCGGCCCAACCGGAAAAGUGCCUUUGAUACUGGGUGCCUCGAGGGAGGUAGGGGCAUGUGGAACUUCCGGUGGAGCGGUGAAAUGCGUAGAUAUCGGAAGGAACACCAGUGGCGAAGGCGGCUUCCUGGCCUGUUCUUGACGCUGAGGCGCGAAAAGCUAGGGGGAGCAAACGGGG